AGGAUGAACGCUGGCGGCGUGCCUAACACAUGCAAGUCGAACGUCCUGUCUCGCAAGAGGCAGGGAGUGGCGGACGGGUGAGUACCACGUGGGUCAUCUACCGUGAGGUGAGGAAUACCGGCGAGAAAUCGCCGACAAGACCGCAUAGGCUCGAUGCAAGUCGAGCAAAGCUCUUUCGAGAGAGGGAGCGCCACACGAGGAGCCUGCGCCCGAUUAGCUAGCUGGUGGAGUAACGGUUCACCAGGGCGACGAUCGGUAGCUGGUCUGAGAGGACGAUCAGCCACACUGGGAUUGAGAACGGCCCAGACUCCUACGGGGGGCAGCAGUGAGGAAUUUUCGUCAAUGGGGGCAACCCUGAACGAGCAACGCCGCGUGCAGGAAGAAGGUUUUCGGAUCGUAAACUGCUUUUCGUCGGGGAAGAGAACGGACGGUACCCGAGGAAUCGAGCCCCGGCUAACUACGUGCCAGCAGCCGC
rnacentral:rRNA from 1 species